GACAGAGGAGGCAAGCGUUAUCCGGAAUUAUUGGGCGUAAAGCGUCCGUAGGUGGUCAUGUAAGUCGGUCGUCAAAGCCAGAGGCUCAACCUCUGUCAGGCGGUGGAAACUGCAAGACUAGAGAGAGGUAGGGGUAGAGGGAAUUCCCAGUGUAGCGGUGAAAUGCGUAGAGAUUGGGAAGAACAUCGGUGGCGAAAGCGCUCUACUGGACCUUUUCUGACACUGAUAGACGAAAGCUAGGGGAGCGAAUGGG
rnacentral:rRNA from 1 species